GCGUAGUAUUACUCCUCGCUUGGGAGCCCGGGCGUGCGUCUUGCCAAAACCCCAUACUUCUUUUAGGUUGACCUCGGAUCAGGUAGGGAUACCCGCUGAACUUAAGCAUAUCAAUAAGCGGAGGAAAAGAAACCAACAGGGAUUGCCUCAGUAACGGCGAGUGAAGCGGCAACAGCUCAAAUUUGAAAUCUGGCCCCCUCGGGGCCCGAGUUGUAAUUUGUAGAGGAUGUUUCGGGUGUGGCUCCGGUCUAAGUUCCUUGGAACAGGACGUCAUAGAGGGUGAGAAUCCCGUAUGUGACUGGCAGCCUACGCCCAUGUGAAACUCCUUCGACGAGUCGAGUUGUUUGGGAAUGCAGCUCAAAAUGGGUGGUAAAUUUCAUCUAAAGCUAAAUAUUGGCCAGAGACCGAUAGCGCACAAGUAGAGUGAUCGAAAGAUGAAAAGCACUUUGGAAAGAGAGUUAAACAGUACGUGAAAUUGUUGAAAGGGAAGCGCUUGCAACCAGACUUGCGUGCGGCCGAUCAUCCGGUGUUCUCACCGGUGCACUCGGUCGUGCUCAGGCCAGCAUCGGUUUCGGCGGCUGGAUAAAGGCCAUGGGAAUGUAGCUUCUCUCGGGGAGUGUUAUAGCCCGUGGUGCAAUGCAGCCCGCUGGGACCGAGGACCGCGCU
rnacentral:rRNA from 1 species